rnacentral:snoRNA from 1 species
AUCUGAGGGUCAUAAGCAUGAUGACUGGGUUUCUGUACCACUGUGUGAGAUUUGCCUCCCUCAAAUCCUCUUAAAACACAUUAUGCAUCUAACA